rnacentral:rRNA from 1 species
UCUUCGGAUGUGUAUAAAGUGGCGAAAGGGUGAGUAACACGUGGGCAACCUGCCCUUUGNNNNGGGAUAGCCUCGGGAAACCGAGGUUAAUACCGGAUACUCCAUAUUUGUCGCAUGGCGAAUAUGGGAAAGCUCCGGCGGCAAAGGAUGGGCCCGCGGCCUGUUAGCUAGUUGGUGGGGUAGUGGCCUACCAAGGCAAUGAUGGGUAGCCGGGUUGAGAGACCGACCGGCCAGAUUGGGACUGAGACACGGCCCAGACUCCUACGGGAGGCAGCAGUGGGGAAUCUUGCACAAUGGGCGAAAGCCUGAUGCAGCGACGCCGCGUGCGGGAUGAAGGCCUUCGGGUUGUAAACCGCCUUCAGCAGGGACGAGGCCGCAAGGUGACGGUACCUGCAGAAGAAGCCCCGGCUAACUACGUGCCAGCAGCCGCGGUAAUACGUAGGGGGCAAGCGUUAUCCGGAUUCAUUGGGCGUAAAGCGCGCGUAGGCGGUCUGUUAGGUCAGGAGUUAAAUCUGGGGGCUCAACCCCUAUCCGCUCCUGAUACCGGCAGGCUUGAGUCUGGUAGGGGAAGAUGGGAUUCCAAGUGUAGCGGUGAAAUGCGCAGAUAUUUGGAAGAACACCGGUGGCGAAGGCGGUCUUCUGGGCCAUGACUGACGC